UUUUAGGGCUCAUAGGGCGCACUUCUCUAAAGUGUGCACUUCACACCAGGAGGCGAGGGAAGAAAAGGAAGAAGCAGAAGAAGCAGAAGAAGAAGCAGAAGAAGAAGCAGAAAAAGAAGCAGCAGCAAAAGAAGCAGCAGCAGCAGAAGAAGCAGUAGCAGAAGAAGAAGCAGCAGCAGAAGAAGAAGCCAAUAAGGAAAAUUCGAGCUCAGGUCGCAAGGGAAAUCUGAACAAAGAUGAGUGCAACCAAUCUACUCGCUCGAUCUUAUUUUGUCCACAGACUUGGGUCCAGGCCCGUGUUUACAAGUUCCAAGCGUGACACUACUUCCCCCAACUGGUUACGUGUUGGUCUUGCCUUUGGAUCGUCUAUUUUCCUGUGGACUCUGAUCUUUAAGCAGCACAGCACAGAUGUACUUGAGUACAACCUGAGGAACAACUUGCAUUGACCCAUCUCUGUGCAGGGGGCCUCCGUGGACUUCAGUACCUGUUUUUUCUUCGUGAUUUGUCACACUGAUUCCUGCAACAAAUAAAUAUUUAUCAUGAGAGAUAAA